AUUAUACUCCCUUCGUUUCAUAAUACAUGCCUUUUAUUUAUCAAAAUAUAGAUGUAUUUAGACAUGUUUUAGUAUAUAGAUACAUUCAUUUUAGACAAAUGGAAGUCAAGUAUUUUAUAACGAAGGGAGUAUAUG
rnacentral:pre_miRNA from 1 species